rnacentral:rRNA from 1 species
GACGAACGCUGGCGGCGUGCUUAACACAUGCAAGUCGAACGGUGAAGGGACCGGUUUUUGCUGGUUCUGGAUGAGUGGCGAACGGGUGAGUAACACGUGAGUAACCUGCCCCCUUCUUCUGGAUAACCGCAUGAAAGUGUGGCUAAUACGGGAUAUUCUGCGCCUGCUGCAUGGUGGGUGUGGGAAAGAUAUUGUUUCGGUGGGGGAUGGGCUCGCGGCCUAUCAGCUUGUUGGUGGGGUGAGGGCCUACCAAGGCGGUGACGGGUAGCCGGCCUGAGAGGGUGGACGGCCACACUGGGACUGAGACACGGCCCAGACUCCGACGGGAGGCAGCAGUGGGGAAUAGUGCACAAUGGGCGCAAGCCUGAUGCAGCGACGCCGCGUGAGGGAUGGAGGCCUGCGGGUUGUAAACCUCUUUCGCCAGUGAAGCAGGCCUGUCCCUUUUGUGGGUGGGUUGACGGUAGCUGGAGAAGAAGCGCCGGCUAACUACGUG